GCCAAGUAGCAUAUGCUUGUCUCAAAGAUUAAGCCAUGCAAGUCUAAGUACACACGGCCGGUACAGUGAAACUGCGAAUGGCUCAUUAAAUCAGUUAUGGUUCCUUUGAUCGCUCUACCGUUACUUGGAUAACUGUGGUAAUUCUAGAGCUAAUACAUGCCAACGAGCGCUGACCUCCGGGGAUGCGUGCAUUUAUCAGACCCAAAACCCAUGCGGGGUUGGCUCUCGGGCCGCCCCGGCCGCUUUGGUGACUCUAGAUAACCUCGAGCCGAUCGCUGGCCCCCGUGGCGGCGACGUCUCAUUCGAAUGUCUGCCCUAUCAACUUUCGAUGGUACUUUCUGUGCCUACCAUGGUGACCACGGGUAACGGGGAAUCAGGGUUCGAUUCCGGAGAGGGAGCCUGAGAAACGGCUACCACAUCCAAGGAAGGCAGCAGGCGCGCAAAUUACCCACUCCCGACUCGGGGAGGUAGUGACGAAAAAUAACAAUACAGGACUCUUUCGAGGCCCUGUAAUUGGAAUGAGUACACUUUAAAUCCUUUAACGAGGAUCCAUUGGAGGCAAGUCU
rnacentral:rRNA from 1 species